CAAGAGCGUAUGUAAAAGUUGUUGCAGUUAAAAAGCUCGUAGUUGAACCUUGGGUUUGGUUGGCCGGUCCGCUUUUUUGCGAGUACUGGAUUCAACCGAGCCUUUCCUUCUGGCUAACCAGUCGUUUCGGCGGCUGGCGAACCAGGAUUUUUACUUUGAGAAAAUUAGAGUGUUCGAAGCAGGCAUUAGCUUGAAUAUAUUAGCAUGGAAUAAUAGAAUAGGACGUUAUGGUUCUAUUUUGUUGGUUUCUAGGACCAUCGUAAUGAUUAAUAGGGACGGUCGGGGGCAUCAGUAUUCAGUUGUCAGAGGUGAAAUUCUUGGAUUUACUGAAGACUAACUACUGCGAAAGCAUUUGCCAAGGACGUUUUCAUUAA
rnacentral:rRNA from 1 species